rnacentral:lncRNA from 1 species
CCCAUUCUAUCACUUUGUGUCGUAUGAGUUGUAAGUGGGAUUUCUACCUUACCACAACUAGUUAUGCCGACAUACCUUUCUUUGAGUUUUCAACCCAAGUUCAAUACCUCCCCGACAAUAAUAAGUAUCUGAGGAUGAUUUCAAGAUGCCAUCCUAUUGGUGCAAUGUUGAAGAGCAUGUUGAGUGUAUACGAGAUUUGCAUGAUGUUGAAUUGGAUGAACUGUGCCACCAGAUAUAACAAUUUCAACAAGAAAAUUAGCGGCUUCAUC